rnacentral:misc_RNA from 1 species
CUCUGUCUUUUUCGCUAGCUUGCGCCUUUGUGUGUGCGUGUGUGCUACGUAGCUGCACCUCAAUCUUCUUCUGGGUUUUGCUUGACUCAAGUAGGGGCGACUGCACGGCUGUACGCACACGCACACGAAUACCGCGAUGUCUCGCAAUCCAUCGAACUCUGACGCUGCGCAUGCAUUCUGGAGCACACAGCCCGUACCGCAGACGGAAGAUGAGACGGAGAAAAUCGUGUUCGCCGGUCCGAUGGACGAGCCAAAAACGGUAGCCGAUAUUCCUGAGGAACCAUACCCGAUCGCCAGCACAUUUGAGUGGUGGACGCCAAACAUGGAGGCGGCCGAUGACAUUCACGCAAUUUACGAGCUUCUCCGCGAUAACUACGUCGAGGACGACGACAGCAUGUUUCGUUUCAACUACUCCGAGGAGUUUCUUCAGUGGGCACUAUGCCCACCGAGCUACAUCCCGGACUGGCACGUUGCCGUUCGCCGGAAGGCGGAUAAGAAGCUGCUGGCCUUCAUUGCCGGCGUUCCCGUGACGUUGCGCAUGGGCACCCCCAAGUACAUGAAAGUGAAAGCACAGGAAAAGGGCCAAGAGGAGGAGGCGGCCAAGUAUGAUGCACCCCGUCACAUCUGCGAAAUCAACUUUCUCUGUGUCCACAAGCAACUGCGGGAGAAGCGGCUUGCCCCUAUUUUGAUCAAAGAGGUGACGCGCCGCGUGAACCGCACCAACGUGUGGCAGGCGGUGUACACAGCUGGUGUGCUGCUACCCACUCCGUAUGCAUCAGGGCAGUACUUCCACCGCAGCCUGAACCCCGAGAAGCUUGUGGAGAUCCGCUUCAGCGGCAUUCCUGCACAGUACCAGAAGUUUCAGAACCCAAUGGCGAUGCUGAAGCGCAACUACCAGCUGCCGAACGCGCCAAAGAACUCUGGUCUUCGUGAAAUGAAGCCAUCUGACGUUCCGCAGGUACGGCGAAUUCUCAUGAACUACCUGGACAACUUCGAUGUAGGUCCCGUCUUUAGCGAUGCCGAGAUCAGCCACUACCUCCUUCCGCGCGACGGUGUGGUCUUCACCUACGUGGUGGAAAACGAUAAGAAGGUGACGGACUUCUUUUCCUUCUAUCGAAUUCCAUCGACCGUGAUUGGGAACAGCAAUUAUAACAUUCUGAACGCAGCUUACGUUCACUACUAUGCGGCAACGAGUAUGCCUUUGCAUCAACUCAUUCUCGACCUUUUGAUCGUGGCGCACUCACGCGGCUUCGACGUGUGCAAUAUGGUAGAGAUCCUCGACAACCGGUCGUUCGUUGAGCAGCUCAAGUUUGGCGCCGGCGACGGUCAUCUUCGCUAUUACUUCUACAACUGGGCGUAUCCAAAGAUCAAGCCUUCUCGGGUUGCCUUGGUGAUGUUGUAGUCUACGCACCGCCCCACCUUUCCGUCUUUCACCCUCCUUCACGUUCAUACUCCCCCUUGUAAGUGCGAGCGGAGGGGGGGGAGGAGCAGAUCGGGAGCGGAGAGAGAAUAAAGUUGGCGUAGAGAGUGUAAGGGGCCAGUUUUCGUUGUGGUUAAACGUGUCAAAAGGAGGUUCGCGCAUUCAGCAACGAGUACAUCGACCACUCCUCUUUAGAAGACUCAUCGAUCAGGCUCCACCAGCUGCACAUGCAGCCAUGGCGGCACCGACUUUCCAUUAGCGCGCCGCCUUUUCUCUUCGUGCGAAACGUGAGGACAGCCGGGGGAGACUGGGAUGCGGAAGAAAACAUGGUGGACCAGGCGCCGCUCUGCCUUUCUAUCUGCUUUUCUUCGGUCUUCGUUGACUUUGAGCCCCACGCGGACUGCGUAUCCCGCAACUGGUCACGUCUUGGGUGGGGGGACAAAGAUGGGC